GUGAUGGUGAUUUUCGACUCAUUCCCGUUACAAACAGCCGACCUUCCUACCGAGUUCAAGUACCUUCUGCCUGGCCUGGAAGAACCGUAUCUCUCUGUCACCCUCUUCCACUGGCCCUCACCUGCCCUCCCCUGAACAUGCAUUUUGCCUGAGAGGAGGCAGAGGCGGUUGAGAUGGAGUCUUGCUAUAUGGCCCAGCUGGUAAUGCCUAGAUUCUUGAGUCCCUCCCUGGCUCAUCCCUGGGAGAAGCACCGAACCCCAUGUCUGACACCUGUCCAGAAAUGGAGCCUGCACAUUGACUGUAGGUGCUUGCAGCUUGGUCCAGGAGGCCAGCGGGACCAGACAGAAGACCACAGCGACACGUGGGGAUGGCUGUUCCACAGGCAGAAAUGGGCAGCCGGGAGGAAGUCCGGGCAGCCAGCCACGCAGCUCCUUCCACAUCGUGGCCCUAGAACGGAGUCUUGA
rnacentral:lncRNA from 1 species